rnacentral:rRNA from 1 species
AUACAGAGGGUGCAAGCGUUAUUCGGAAUUACUGGGCGUAAAGCGCGCGUAGGCGGAUGAUUAAGUCAGUUGUGAAAGCCCUGGGCUCAACCUAGGAACUGCAUCUGAUACUGGUCGCCUCGAGUUUAAGAGAGGGAAGUGGAAUUCCAGGUGUAGCAGUGAAAUGCGUAGAUAUCUGGAGGAACAUCAGUGGCGAAGGCGACUUCCUGGCUUAAAACUGACGCUGAGGUGCGAAAGCGUGGGUAGCGAACGGGAUUAGAAACCCGAGUAGUCC